ensembl:lncRNA
CAAGUCCAGGCUGAUUACCUGGGAGCCCUUGUAGGACUUUGUGAAGACCAGCCACAUGGUCAACACACCUGUACAGACCAUGCACAUCAUGGGGGACCUGGGACCAGCAGGCAAACUUGGCCAAAAGGAGAAGGAAUGCUUGUGUGCACGAUAAGAGCAGAUGGAAAUGGAGUGGUUACCAUCAAACCAGACUUCAACAAAGGCAAGGAGCACUACAGGCCAGUGACCUGCACCCGCUGAAGUCAAAAUAUUUUACCCCUAGCUCAAGUAAGGGUCACUUACUUGGUAGCAGAAUUUAUACAUUCCCAGCCAUUUACUGUGAUAUGAUGCUGUUUGUUUGCACCCAAGGUUGAGACGGAGGGGGAGAAGAGGGAGGUGUGGCGACAGAACAGCAGCAGUGCAUAUAUUUUUUCACCUUUAUUUAACCAGGUAGGCAAGUUGAGAACAAGUUCUCAUUUACAAUUGCGACCUGGCCAAGAUAAAGCAAAGCAGUUCGACACAUACAACGACACAGAGUUACACAUGGAGUAAAACAAACAUACAGUCAAUAAUACAGUAUAAACAAGUCUAUAUACGAUGUGAGCAAAUGAGGUGAGAUAAGGGAGGUAAAGGCAAAAAAAGGCCGUGGUGGCAAAGUAAAUGCAAUAUAGCAAGUAAAACACUGGAAUGGUAGAUUUGCAAUGGAAGAAAGUGCAAAGUAGAAAUAAAAAUAAUGGGGUGUAAAGGAGCAAAAUAAAUAAAUUAAAUACAGUAGGGAAAGAGGUAGUUGUUUGGGCUAAAUUAUAGGUGUGCUAUGUACAGGUGCAGUAAUCUGUGAGCUGCUCUGACAGUUGGUGCUUAAAGCUAGUGAGGGAGAUAAGUGUUUCCAGUUUCAGAGAUUUUUGUAGUUCGUUCCAGUCAUUGGCAGCAGAGAACUGUAAGGAGAGGCGGCCAAAGAAAUAAUUGGUUUUGAGGGUGACUAGAGAGAUAUACCUGCUGGAGCGUGUGCUACAGGUGGGAGAUGCUAUGGUGACCAGCGAGCUGAGAUAAGGGGGGACUUUACCUAGCAGGGUCUUGUAGAUGACAUGGAGCCAGUGGGUUUGGCGACGAGUAUAAAGCGAGGGCCAACCAACGAGAGCGUACAGGUCGCAAUGGUGGGUAGUAUAUGGGGCUUUGGUGACAAAACGGAUUGCACUGUGAUAGACUGCAUCCAAUUUGUUGAGUAGGGUAUUGGAGGCUAUUUUGUAAAUGACAUCUCCAAAGUUUAGGAUUGGUAGGAUGGUCAGUUUUACAAGAGUGUGUUUGGCAGCAUGAGUGAAGGAUGUUUACAUUCUAACCAGACACCUAGGUAUUUGUAGUUGUCCACGUAUUCUAAGCCAGAGCCGUCCAGAGUAGUGAUGUUGGACAGGUGCAGGCAGCAAUCGGUUGAAGAGCAUGCAUUUAGUUUUACUUCUAUUUAAGAGCAAUUGGAGGCCACAAAGGAAGAGUUGUAUGGCAUUGAAGCUUGCCUGGAGGGUUGUUAACACAGUGUCCAAAGAAGGGCCAGAAAUAUACAGAAUGGUGUCGUCUGCGUAGAGGUGGAUCAGAGACUCACCAGCAGCGAGAGCGACAUCAUUGAUGUAAACAGAGAAGAGAGUCGGUCCAAGAAUUGAACCCUGUGGCACCCCCAUAGAGACUCCCAGAGGUCCGGACAGCAGACCCUCCGAUUUGACACAUUGAACUCUAUCAGAGAAGUAGUUGGUGAUCCAGGCGAGGCAAUCAUUUGAGAAACCAAGGCUGUCGAGUCUGCCGAUGAAGAUGUGGUGAUUGACAGAGUCGAAAGACUUGGCCAGAUCAAUGAAUAUGA